rnacentral:rRNA from 1 species
CAGUACGGUCGGAAAUCGUACGUAGAGUGUAAAGGCAAAAGAGAGCUUGAUUGCAAGACAUACAGGUCGAGCAAGGAUGAAAAUCGGACUUAGUGAUCCGGUGGUUCUGCGUGGAAGGGCCAUCGCUCAACGGAUAAAAGCUACCCUGGGGAUAACAGGCUUAUCUCCCCCAAGAGUCCACAUCGACGGGGAGGUUUGGCACCUCGAUGUCGGCUCAUCACAUC